ACGGAGGGUGCGAGCGUUAAUCGGAAUUACUGGGCGUAAAGGGCGCGUAGGCGGUUCGGUCAGUCAGAUGUGAAAGCCCCGGGCUUAACCUGGGAAUUGCAUUUGAUACUGCCGAGCUUGAGUGUGGUAGAGGGAAGCGGAAUUCCGGGUGUAGCGGUGAAAUGCGUAGAUAUCCGGAGGAACACCAGUGGCGAAGGCGGCUUCCUGGACCAACACUGACGCUGAGGCGCGAAAGCGUGGGGAGCAAACAGG
rnacentral:rRNA from 1 species